ACAAAGAACAAAAGAAGAAUCACUUUACCCAAUAUUAAGGAUAACUACUAUUAAAUAAGCAGGAGGCAGCCGGGCGUGGUGGUUCAGGCCCAUAAUCCCAGCACUUUGGGAGGCCAAGGUGGGUGGAUCAUUUGAGGUCAGGAGUUCAACACUAGCCUGGCCAACAUGACAAAAUCCUAUUUCCACUCAAAACACAAAAAAUUAGCUGGGUGUGGUAGCGGGCACCUAUGAUCCCAGCCACUAGGGAGACUGAGACAGGAGAAUUGCUUGAACCCAGGAGGCAGAGGUUGCAGUGGGCCGAGAUCAUGCCACUACACUCCAGCCUAGGUGAGAGGGCAAGACUCUGUCUCAAUCAAUCAAUCAAUAAGCAGGAGGCCAGUGGCCUGAGGCUGUCUCCAUACUUUCAGUUCCCACUUAAUGAACUACAACCUAACUUAAACUGAAAACCUAACUUAAGAAGGUAAUAACAGUGGUGUCUCGGCCAAUCAUAAGCAGCCAAACCGCCACUAAUCACAGGCAGGUAACUGACCAGACCAUAUCCAAAUAAGGCAAAGGCCUAGCUGUAACCAGUCAAACGAUUUCUGUACCUCACAUUUUCUGUCUAUAAGUACUCACUGCCCACAUUGCAGAGCCCAGCUCUCUGAACCUUUUCUGGUUGUGAGGAGUGAUGACUUCAUUGAUCAUUCUUUGCUCAAAUAAACUCUGCUAAGUUUAAAUUCUCAAAAGUUUUUCUUUUAAUACUAUCUAUAGUAAUCAACAGAGUGCAGGAAUGACAAAGGGACAGACACACAGAUCAAAGGAACAGAAUAAAGAACCUAGAAAUAGUCCCAUAAAAGUACAGCCAACUGAUUUUUGAAUAAGGUGCAAAAGCAAUUCAAUGAAAGAAACAAAGUCUUUUCAAAAUAUGGUGCUGAAGCAAUCUGAUACCUAAAGGCAAAACAAAUGAACUUCGACCUAAACCUCAUACCAUCAUACAAAAAUUAACUCAAAUAGACUAUGGGCUUAAAAAUAAAACACAAAACCAUAAAACUUUUAGAAGAUAUGAGAAAAGUUUUAGAUCCUACGGCGUAGUGAAUACUUCUUAGACAUGACACCAAACGCACAGUCC
rnacentral:lncRNA from 10 species